GACGAACGCUGGCGGCGUGCUUAACACAUGCAAGUCGAACGGAAAGGCCCUGCUUUUGUGGGGUGCUCGAGUGGCGAACGGGUGAGUAACACGUGAGUAACCUGCCCUUGACUUUGGGAUAACUUCAGGAAACUGGGGCUAAUACCGGAUAGGAGCUCCUGCUGCAUGGUGGGGGUUGGAAAGUUUCGGCGGUUGGGCGUGGACUCGCGCAUUAUCAGCUUGUUGGUGGGGUAGUGGCUUACCAAGGCUUUGACGGGUAGCCGGCCUGAGAGGGUGACCGGCCACAUUGGGACUGAGAUACGGCCCGGACUCCUACGGGAGGCAGCAGUGGGGAAUAUUGCACAAUGGGCGGAAGCCUGAUGCAGCAACGCCGCGUGCGGGAUGACGGCCUUCGGGUUGUAAACCGCUUUCGCCUGUGACGAAGCGUGAGUGACGGUAAUGGGUAAAGAAGCACCGGCUAACUACGUG
rnacentral:rRNA from 1 species